AACCCGACUCCGUGAAGCUGGAUUCGCUAGUAAUCGCGCAUCAGCCACGGCGCGGUGAAUACGUUCCCGGGCCUUGUACACACCGCCCGUCAAGCCAUGGGAGCCGGGGGUGCUUGAAGUGCGUCGCCGCAAGGCGCGCCCUAGAGCAAAACCGGUGACUGGGGCUAAGUCGUAACAAGGUAGC
rnacentral:rRNA from 1 species